AUCAUUAUAAAUACUCUCAAACCCUUAGACGAUUUUAGCGUCUAGCCCACUUGCCUUUUGAGCAGAUUAGGGUUUCAGAAGCGAGGUAGCGAGGAGAACAAAGGAGCCGAAUCACCAUGCGUGCGAAGUGGAAGAAGAAGCGUAUGAGGAGGUUGAAGAGGAAGCGCCGAAAGAUGAGGCAGAGAUCCAAGUAGUUCUUCUACCAUCAAUAAAUCGUCGUUGUUUUGUUGUCUAAUCGCUUACUGAUUAGAGAGUCGUAGCGUAUUUUGUUUUUUUUUUUUUUCUUAUGUUUGGAUUAAAGGUCUGAAAACCGCAUUUAUGUUACUGCUUAAUGAGAUUUCGUAUUGCACUAUUAAAUUUGAAGCUUAUAGUGAUGUGGAAAUUGGCUAUUCGCUAUUUAUAUUUAAUGUUUGUGAUGUUCUGGAUUU